CCUCGGACACCCCGAGAGUUUGCCCCUGCACAGGUAAAACUCUGAAACUUUGGCCAAUAAAGUUUCAUCUUAAACUCCUGAAAGCUUCCGACAUUUUUGCUCGCAUUGGGGUGGUCUCUCCUAGAAAACAUUCUACGUGCACUUGAAAAAGAGAGGUGAAAAGAGGGACAAAGAGAGGAAGAAAGACAUCAACAUGAGAGAGAA